CUGUGGAAGGGUAGGAAUUGGCUGAAGAAAGUUUUGCUGGUUUCAAUACCUUACAUAGAAAGGAUGCCAUGAAAAUGUACAUAGGAAAAAUGAUGUAGGAAAAAUAUGGUUGCUAGCCCCCCCACCCCCACCCCUCGUUCACUUCUGCAUAGUUCCUGCGGCAAGCGGCAGGGUCUCCCACCCACUCUGCUCUGAGGCAUGAGCAUGAACCCUCCACUCCAUGAAAAAGGCAAAAGCACAGUUUUACCCCAAUACAAAGAGAAAGUGUGUGCUUUCGGGGGGGGGGGAUUAACAUGAUUAUAGCCAAGAGAUAUUGUCCUUUGCCUAAAACUCUCUAGUAGUCUGACCUAUAGAUGUAGAUGUCCUUUAAAUGUUAAUGCUCUGAUCCAUUACAGCCCUAGCCUGGGAAUUUCCCAGGUAGUGGAAGCUUUUACAAGUAUGUUGAACAAAUAUUUGGUCAGGCUCAUUUGGUGAAUGCAUGAAGCAGGAUGGUAUGAAGGUCACAUCCAGACUUAUAUGACCAGCGCCGGUUUAUGCCACAAUGAGCUUUCCUAGCCAGUGACCAUCUGAUCAAAAACUGUGGAAAAUACUAUUGGUUUUGGGAUGGGCUGAUUUGCAUUUCCCCCCCCCUUGAUCGUACAACAUAACGGGAAAUGCAAAUCUGCCUGGAAUCCCCACCCCACAAACUGUAGCUCUUCCUGUCCAUCAGGGAACUUUCCAUUUUUUAAAUUUUUGAAUCUUUUCAGAUCAAUUCAAGCAUGUGUUCACUUGAAUCAAUGCAGAAAGAGAAGACAAGCUUAACAAGGCAAAGCCGGGUGUUGGAAGCUGGCAGCUGAAACAGGAAAAAGCCAUCUUAUUGCCUAUUAAUACAGUUCUUUGAACAGUGCCACCUGCAGGACUAUCUCCAGGAUGUGAAGUGUCAGG